ACAGGUAUAGCUCAGUGGUAGAGUGCAUGCUCAGCAUGCACAAGGUCAUGGGUUCAAUCCCCAGUACCUCCA
rnacentral:tRNA from 1 species